GAAUAUUGGACAAUGGGCGCAAGCCUGAUCCAGCAAUGCCGCGUGAGUGAAGAAGGCCUUAGGGUUGUAAAGCUCUUUCGCCCGCGACGAUGAUGACGGUAGCGGGAGAAGAAGCCCCGGCUAAUUCCGUGCCAGCAGCCGCGGUAAUACGGAAGGGGCUAGCGUUGUUCGGAAUUACUGGGCGUAAAGCGCGCGUAGGCGGCUUGGCGAGUGAGGCGUGAAAGUCCUGGGCUCAACCUGGGGACGGCGCUUCAGACUGCUUGGCUUGAGUCCGGAAGAGGGUGGUGGAAUUCCGAGUGUAGAGGUGAAAUUCGUAGAUAUUCGGAGGAACACCGGUGGCGAAGGCGGCCACCUGGUCCGGAACUGACGCUGAAGUGCGAAAGCGUGGGGAGCAAACAGG
rnacentral:rRNA from 1 species